rnacentral:lncRNA from 1 species
GGGGCUGGCCUGGUAGAAUAAAAGUUAAGUUUGCGUGCUCCACUUCUGUGGCCCAGGGUUCGCAGAUUCGGAUCCAAGGCGUGGACCUAGCACCACUUGUCGAGCCACACUGUGGCAGUAUCCCACAAAAAAUAGAGGCAGAUUGGCACAGAUGUCAGCUCAGGGAGAAUCUCCCUCAAGAAAUAAAGAGGAGGAUUGGCAAAAGACGUUAGCUCAGGGCCAAUCUCCCUCACCAAAAAAAUUAAAUAAAUAAAUUAAUGCUUCUUUUAAAAAGGUGGUUUUAUAGACUUUGGCUUCCUUAAUUCUCACAACAGUUCUGAAAACAUAGUUCUUUUCUGUCUAGCUACACUACCUCCAGAACUUCUUUUACAGUAACUCAGUAAAGAUGUUUCCUUUAUUUUUCCAAUUUUUGUACCUAUCUCUAAGUCUUUCCGUAAUUAUAGGCACAAAUAAACUUUCCACCCUUUACUACUAAAUUAAAUGGUUAUCUUUUCAUAAAACUAAUGUCAUUUCAACUUUGUGGCUUUUUUUCACCAAUAAUGACAAUAAUCUCUGUUAUAUAACAAAAUAUUUCCUUAAAAAAAUCAAUGAAGUUGCAAAGAACAUAUUAAAGGCUGCAAUACUGUCCCAUUCUCCCUGCCAUUGUCCCAAAUCACUCUUCUGGCAGCAAAACUGUCAGGCACAGCAUGACAUCUACUAAAAAUGAGUUCAACCCAGCAUCUUGUCAGAUGUGGUCCAUGUUUUGUGUUCUCUGAUCUUCUAAAAAGAACAAACAAACCCGGAGCGUAGGAAGGUAUUUAGAUGGCUUCUAGGGAAGCUGUCAUUUCCACUGUAGUUUUCUUCUUUACUGCAGAGAGGCUGAUACUAAAAAUUGCUGGAAGAAAAAAGAAAAAUAAAAUAGCAUCACCAGCAUGUUGAUGAACGUCAAGUAGAGGAUGAUACUGGACCACAAAGUAAACAUGACUGUUGCUACAGAUACAAAAUGGGAAGAAGAUACAAAGUGACUAACAUUGACUUUUCAAGGCCAACGUGCAGAGUGCUUGCUGAUGAAAGGCCAUUGAACAAGGGGUUAGGGAUCACUUCCUCCUCCAGCUGGAUUCUGCCCCUCCUGCCCCACUUGGUGACUAUGUGAGCGAGCUGUGAGACCCAGGAUUUGAGACAUACAUGGCUAAGAAAUUGAUUUGACAUCAUGACUAUGCACCAAGAAUAUCACUCUCCAAAUGUUAUAUUUUUCUGGUCAGCAAUUCAAAAUAAAGAUGAUGUUUGUU